UUAGUGAAGAUGGCAUCGUCUUCUGUAGUCUCCUCCAUGUUUCUCUUUCUCCUUCUUCUUCUUGUAUUUCCACAUAUAGAUAAUGUCCUUGGCGCACGAAUGGAACUCCGUGAACUUGAGGAGAUAAACCAUACGGAUCCAGUGACGGUCCAAAAGCGCUCGAUUACUUUUUUACCGCGGCCUCGGCCUCGGCCCAUUACUUUACCACCUGGGUUUCCACGGCCCUGGGCGCCCACCGUUCCCACUGUUUCGCCUGGAAGAAGGUGCCGUCACUGUAGGCCUCCUCCUCCCCCAAAGGCUUUCCCAAGGAGCACACCUAGUCACUGAUCUCACUAUA